rnacentral:tRNA from 2 species
GUCUGUGUAGCUCAGCGAAUAGAGCAGUCUUUUGACGGAAGGACAGGUCGUGGGUUUGAAUCCCACCACAGGCA